rnacentral:rRNA from 1 species
CCGUAGCCUGGUAGCGGGGGAUAACUAUUGGAAACGAUAGCUAAUACCGCAUAACAGUAGAUGUUGCAUGACAUUUGCUUAAAAGGUGCAAUUGCAUCACUACCAGAUGGACCUGCGUUGUAUUAGCUAGUUGGUGGGGUAACGGCUCACCAAGGCGACGAUACAUAGCCGACCUGAGAGGGUGAUCGGCCACACUGGGACUGAGACACGGCCCAG